CCUACGGGAGGCAGCAGUGAGGAAUAUUGCUCAAUGGGCGCAAGCCUGAAGCAGCGACGCCGCGUGGAUGAAGAAGGUUUUCGGACUGUAAAAUCCUUUUCUGUGUGACGAGAGUGGACGGUAGCACAGGAAUAAGUCUCGGCUAACUACGUGCCAGCAGCCGCGGUAAGACGUAGGAGGCAAGCGUUAUCCGGAGUUACUGGGCGUAAAGCGCGUGCAGGUGGGUUGGUAAGUUACUUAUGAAAGCUCCUGGCUAAACUAGGAGAGGUUGAGUGAUACUGCCAGUCUUGAAUAGAGGAGAGGUUGACGGAAUUCCGCGUGUAGUGGUGAAAUGCGUAGAGAUGCGGAAGAACACCAGUGGCGAAGGCGGUCAACUGGCCUCAUAUUGACACUCAGACGCGAAGGCAUGGGUAGCGAACGGGAUUAGAAACCCCGGUAGUCCAUGCAAUAAACGAUGCACACUGAAUGUUCGUUGUCCUACGGGGCAAUGAGUGUUGAAGCAAACGCGAUAAGUGUGCCGCCUGGGGAGUACGGUCGCAAGGCUAAAACUCAAAGGAAUUGACGGA
rnacentral:rRNA from 1 species